rnacentral:rRNA from 1 species
CUACGGGAGGCUCCAGUGGGGAAUAUUGCACAAUGGGCGCAAGCCUGAUGCAGCCAUGCCGCGUGUAUGAAGAAGGCCUUCGGGUUGUAAAGUACUUUCAGCGGGGAGGAAGGGAGUAAAGUUAAUACCUUUGCUCAUUGACGUUACCCGCAGAAGAAGCACCGGCUAACUCCGUGCCAGCAGCCGCGGUAAUACGGAGGGGGCAAGCGUUAAGCGGAAUUACUGGGCGUAAAGCGCACGCAGGCGGUUUGUUAAGUCAGAUGUGAAAUCCCCGGGCUCAACCUGGGAACUGCAUCUGAUACUGGCAAGCUUGAGUCUCGUAGAGGGGGGUAGAAUUCCAGGUGUAGCGGUGAAAUGCGUAGAGAUCUGGAGGAAUACCGGUGGCGAAGGCGGCCCCCUGGACGAAGACUGACGCUCAGGUGCGAAAGCGUGGGGAGCAAACAGGAUUAGAUACCCCCGUAGUC